UACGUAGGGUGCAAGCGUUGUCCGGAAUUAUUGGGCGUAAAGAGCUCGUCGGUGGCCUGUCGCGUCGGCUGUGAAAACUCGGGGCUCAACUCCGAGCUUGCAGUAGAUACGGGCAGGCUAGAGUUCGGCAGGGGAGACUGGAAUUCCUGGUGUAGCGGUGAAAUGCGCAGAUAUCAGGAGGAACACCGGUGGCGAAGGCGGGUCUCUGGGCCGAUACUGACACUGAGGAGCGAAAGCGUGGGGAGCGAACAGG
rnacentral:rRNA from 1 species